rnacentral:rRNA from 1 species
GAUGAACGCUGGCGGCGUGCCUAAUACAUGCAAGUCGAGCGAACAGAUGAGGAGCUUGCUCCUCUGACGUUAGCGGCGGACGGGUGAGUAACACGUGGAUAACCUACCUAUAAGACUGGGAUAACUUCGGGAAACCGGAGCUAAUACCGGAUAAUAUAUUGAACCGCAUGGUUCAAUAGUGAAAGACGGUUUUGCUGGCACGUAUAGAUGGAUCCGCGCCGCAUUAGCUAGUUGGUAAGGUAACGGCUUACCAAGGCAACGAUGCGUAGCCGACCUGAGAGGGUGAUAGCCCACACUGGAACUGAGACACGGUCCAGACGCCUACGGGAGGCAGCAGUAGGGAAUCUUCCGCAGAGGGCGAAAGCCUGACGCAGCAACGCCGCGUGAGUGAUGAAGGUCUUCGGAUCGUAAAACUCUGUUAUUAGGGAAGAACAAAUGUGUAAGUAACUAUGCACGUCUUGACGGUACCUAAUCAGAAAGCCACGGCUAACUACGUG